rnacentral:lncRNA from 1 species
GCCAGGUGUGAGGGCGCGAGGACGCGGGGCUGUGAGCUCCCCGAGGACGACGCCCCCUCUGCUUACACCACCUGCAGGCGCUCCAGCCCCGGCACUGGAAGGCCUUGGCCACCGACACAGCAGCCUCAUCUUCUGGCUGGAUAAACUCACCUCAGAGCCAAGCGGCCCCGGAGAAGCUGCCUCUGUGGCCCGGUCUGCAGGGUGGAGUUACCGUGGGUCCCUCGCAUCAGACAUCUGCCUGCGGACCAGACACCUGCUCUCCUCCAAGGAGCCUCAAUGUCCAGAGAAGGGAUCCUGCGGUGACCGAGGGACAGGCCUGUCUUCUGGGUCACCACAUCUUGGCAUUUAUUAUUUGCCCCCAGGAAGGUCUGAAGGAUUUUACUUUUAAAAACCAUAGUCAGCCGGGCGCGGUGGCUAACGCCUGUAAUCCCAGCACUUAGGGAGGCCGAGGCGGGUGGAUCACCUGAGGUCAGGAGUUCAAGAACAAUCUGACCAACAUGCAGAAACCCUGUCUCUACUAAUACUACAAAAUUAGCCAGGUGUGGUGGUGGGCGCCCGUAAUCCCAGCUACUUGGGGGGCUGAGGCAGGAGAAUUGCUUGAACCUGCGGGGUGGAGGUUGCAGUGAGCUGAGAUCACACCAUUGCACUCCAGCCUGGGCAACAAGAGCGAA